rnacentral:rRNA from 1 species
UGGGGAAUUUUGCGCAAUGGGCGAAAGCCUGACGCAGCAACGCCGCGUGGAGGAUGAAGGCCUUCGGGUCGUAAACUCCUGUCAGUAGGGACGAACGCUUCGAAAGGAGCUUGACUGUACCUGCUGAGGAAGCCACGGCUAACUCCGUGCCAGCAGCCGCGGUCAUACGGAGGUGGCAAGCGUUGUUCGGAAUUAUUGGGCGUAAAGGGCGCGUAGGCGGCUUAGCAAGUCAGAUGUGAAAGCCCCGGGCUUAACUCGGGAAUUGCAGCUGAAACUGCUUUGCUUGAGUCCUGGAGGGGGUAGUGGAAUUCCCAGUGUAGCGGUGAAAUGCGUAGAUAUUGGGAGGAACACCGGCGGCGAAGGCGGCUACCUGGACAGUGACUGACGCUGAGGCGCGAAAGCUAGGGGAGCGAACG